UACGGGGGGGGCAAGCGUUGUUCGGAAUUACUGGGCGUAAAGGGCUCGUAGGCGGCCAACUAAGUCAGACGUGAAAUCCCUCGGCUUAACCGGGGAACUGCGUCUGAUACUGGAUGGCUUGAGUUUGGGAGAGGGAUGCGGAAUUCCAGGUGUAGCGGUGAAAUGCGUAGAUAUCAGGAGGAACACCUGUGGUGUAGACAGCUUACUGGACCAUUUCUGACGCUGAGACACGAAAGCGUGGGGAGCGAACAGG
rnacentral:rRNA from 1 species